rnacentral:rRNA from 1 species
UACGAAGGGGGCUAGCGUUGCUCGGAAUUACUGGGCGUAAAGGGCGCGUAGGCGGACUGCUUAGUCAGAGGUGAAAGCCCAGGGCUCAACCUUGGAAUAGCCUUUGAUACUGGCUGUCUUGAGUUCGGGAGAGGUGAGUGGAAUGCCGAGUGUAGAGGUGAAAUUCGUAGAUAUUAGGAAGAACACCAGUGGCGAAGGCGGCUCACUGGUCCGGUACUGACGCUGAGGCGCGAAAGCGUGGGGAGCAAACAGG